CAGACGUGUGCAUUCACUGAAAUACAGGCACCAUACUGCAUGUAACAGCACUAAGGCACAUCAUGCUGGUUUCAUGUUUCAAGGCCAAUGCGAUGAAUAAACAAAUUAACUAAGUUAACUUAGAAAGUUGGUGUGUAAUACAGAAUGCUUCUGGACUUCUGGAACACCUUUAAAAAGUCAUGAUUCUUGUAUAAGAAGUGGCAAAUUCAAACAGUAACACAUUGGAGGCUAGUCUGCCCAUGCCUGCUGGCAUGAGUCCGUUCCUAUAUACAACCAGGGCUGGAGUGAGCAAUGCAAUCUGAAUAUGUGUUCCUUUUGGUUUUUUGGUUUUUUGGGGGUUUUUUUUACACUUGAGACUACUGUAACACAUUCCACUUUUCACUGAAUCAUGGACAGAGGUGUAUGUUAUUUACAUAUAGUAUAUUUCCUACAUCUGCCCUGCAUAAACUCCCUCCCUCUGCUGCUGCUGAGCUCUUGUACAGAACCAGAGUGUUGAAUUCAGUUUUUGCAAGAUUUAUUUUUAUCAGUGCAGGCUAGUCUGUGUGUAUUGUGGUCUGUUUGUGUCCUGUUGGAAUCUCAAUCUUCCAACACUUGACAGUUGGUUGGUGAACAGCAGCCAAAAUCCACAAGCUUGUCUUGACCACAGUCAUGUUUGGUCCAAGAUUGGCUUCUGGACACAGCUUCUGGAGUAUGAUACAUGUGACUCAGGCCAAGACAACAGAAGACCUGUAUCUCAGUAGGAGACUGUCCUCCCAAGAAAAAGUAAAAGAUGACCCAGACCAUAAGCUGCAACUCUGGGCUUC